rnacentral:rRNA from 1 species
GAUAAACGCUGGCGGCGUGCCUAAUACAUGCAAGUCGAACGAAGUUUUUCCUUCGGGAGACCCUUAGUGGCGGCCGGGUGCGUAACGCGUAGGUAACCUGCCCUGUACUGGGGGACAACAGCUGUAUACGGCUGCUAAUACUGCUUACGCCUUUAGCACUGCAUGGUGCAUAGGGAAAAGGAACAAUCCGGUACAGGAUGUACCCGCGUCUGAUUAGCCAGUUGGCAGGGUAACGGCCUACCAAAGCGACGAACAGUAGCCGAUCUGAGAGGAUGUACGGCCACAUUGGGACUGGGACACGGCCCAGACCCUUACGGGAGGCAGCAGUGGGGAAUAUUGCACAAUGGAGGAAACUCUGAUGCAGCGACGCCGCGUAAGUGAAGAAGUAUUGCGGUAUGUAAAGCUCUAUCAGCAGUGAAGAAAAUGACGGUACCUAACUAGAAAGCACCGGCUAAAUACGUG